GCUGAUCCAUGCUGAUGUGAUGUGUUGUGGCUGAUCCAUGCUGAUGUGUUGUGGCUGAUCCAUACUGAUGUGAUGUGUUGUAGGUGUUUGCUGAGACCACGUUGGACCCCCAGCAGAGUCAGUCCUGGGACCAGCUACGAUGUCUCUACAGAGGACCUUCCAGGUUGGCCAUCCUGUCGGAAAUCUCCCACUGCCAUGGCAACGAGAAGGCGGGCCUCCUAAACCCCUCCCAACCAGGAACAGGAAGUAUAUUCCACAGCGAGAACUUCCAGCUCAAACUCUCCCCACCGCCAUCGGUCGAAGAGUAGCUUGCCUACAGCCAUGUUCAGUAUGAUGACGUUGUGGAACUUUCAGAUAGAAAUAUUUUGUGUAGAACAGACACGAUGUCCUGGUCAGGUAGAAUAGGCUGUUCCGUCUAUUUGUUAUAUUUCUGACUGAAGACACCCCUGUUGUUUCUGUUGUUGAUUAAACACUACCACGGAUUAUACUCUUGUUGAUCAAAACUACGUUGUCCACUGUCUGGGCGGAUAUUUGAAAUGGUAUCGAUCAAAUGUUAUGUUUCUGUCUGCAAAAUGUCCAUAAAUAAACCAAUUUGUAACGUUU